rnacentral:rRNA from 1 species
GACGAACGCUGGCGGCGUGCUUAACACAUGCAAGUCGAACGGAAAGGCCCUGCUUUUGUGGGGUGCUCGAGUGGCGAACGGGUGAGUAACACGUGAGUAACCUGCCCUUGACUUUGGGAUAACUUCAGGAAACUGGGGCUAAUACCGGAUAGGAGCUCCUGCUGCAUGGUGGGGGUUGGAAAGUUUCGGCGGUUGGGGAUGGACUCGCGGCUUAUCAGCUUGUUGGUGGGGUAGUGGCUUACCAAGGCUUUGACGGGUAGCCGGCCUGAGAGGGUGACCGGCCACAUUGGGACUGAGAUACGGCCCAGACUCCUACGGGAGGCAGCAGUGGGGAAUAUUGCACAAUGGGCGGAAGCCUGAUGCAGCGACACCGCGUGCGGGAUGACGGCCUUCGGGUUGUAAACCGCUUUCGCCUGUGACGAAGCGUGAGUGACGGUAAUGGGUAAAGAAGCACCGGCUAACUACGUGCCAGCAGCCGCGGUGAUACGUAGGGUGCGAGCGUUGUCCGGAUUUAUUGGGCGUAAAGGGCUCGUAGGUGGUUGAUCGCGUCGGAAGUGUAAUCUUGGGGCUUAACCCUGAGCGUGCUUUCGAUACGGGUUGACUUGAGGAAGGUAGGGGAGAAUGGAAUUCCUGGUGGAGCGGUGGAAUGCGCAGAUAUCAGGAGGAACACCAGUGGCGAAGGCGGUUCUCUGGGCCUUUCCUGACGCUGAGGAGCGAAAGCGUGGGGAGCGAACAGGCUUAGAUACCCUGGUAGUCCACGCUGUAAACGGUGGGUACUAGGUGUGGGGUCCAUUCCACGGGUUCCGUGCCGUAGCUAACGCUUUAAGUACCCCGCCUGGGGAGUACGGCCGCAAGGCUAAAACUCAAAGGAAUUGACGGGGCCCCGCACAAGCGGCGGAGCAUGCGGAUUAAUUCGAUGCAACGCGUAGAACCUUACCUGGGUUUGACAUGGAUCGGGAGUGCUCAGAGAUGGGUGUGCCUCUUUUGGGGUCGGUUCACAGGUGGUGCAUGGCUGUCGUCAGCUCGUGUCGUGAGAUGUUGGGUUAAGUCCCGCAACGAGCGCAACCCUUGUUCACUGUUGCCAGCACGUUAUGGUGGGGACUCAGUGGAGACCGCCGGGGUCAACUCGGAGGAAGGUGGGGAUGACGUCAAGUCAUCAUGCCCCUUAUGUCCAGGGCUUCACGCAUGCUACAAUGGCUGGUACAGAGAGUGGCGAGCCUGUGAGGGUGAGCGAAUCUCGGAAAGCCGGUCUCAGUUCGGAUUGGGGUCUGCAACUCGACCUCAUGAAGUCGGAGUCGCUAGUAAUCGCAGAUCAGCAACGCUGCGGUGAAUACGUUCCCGGG